GAUGAACGCUGGCGGCGUGCCUAAUACAUGCAAGUCGAGCGAACAGACGAGGAGCUUGCUCCUCUGACGUUAGCGGCGGACGGGUGAGUAACACGUGGAUAACCUACCUAUAAGACUGGGAUAACUUCGGGAAACCGGAGCUAAUACCGGAUAAUAUAUUGAACCGCAUGGUUCAAUAGUGAAAGACGGUUUUGCUGUCACUUAUAGAUGGAUCCGCGCCGCAUUAGCUAGUUGGUAAGGUAACGGCUUACCAAGGCGACGAUGCGUAGCCGACCUGUGAGGGUGAUCGGCCACACUGGAACUGAGACACGGUCCAGACUCCUACGGGAGGCAGCAGUAGGGAAUCUUCCGCAAUGGGCGAAAGCUUGACGGAGCAACGCCGCGUGAGUGAUGAAGGUCUUCGGAUCGUAAAACUCUGUUAUUAGGGAAGAACAAAUGUGUAAGUAACUAUGCACGUCUUGACGGUACCUAAUCAGAAAGCCACGGCUAACUACGUG
rnacentral:rRNA from 1 species